rnacentral:rRNA from 1 species
CGUCUGGAAAGGCGCGCGAUACAGGGUGACAGCCCCGUACACAAAAGCGCAUGUGCUGUGAGCUCGAUGAGUAGGGCGGGACACGUGGUAUCCUGUCUGAAUAUGGGGGGACCAUCCUCCAAGGCUAAAUACUCCUGACUGACCGAUAGUGAACCAGUACCGUGAGGGAAAGGCGAAAAGAACCCCGGCGAGGGGAGUGAAAAAGAACCUGAAACCGUGUACGUACAAGCAGUGGGAGCCCCACCACCAAAGCAUUCUCUGGUGUUGAAGGCCCUGCAAAGCAGCAUCGCGGUGGCGGAGCGUCGUUUGCGACGCCCAACACACAAAACAAGCGGUGAGUGCUUUGGGGUGGGGUGACUGCGUACCUUUUGUAUAAUGGGUCAGCGACUUAUAUUCUGUAGCAAGGUUAACCGWAUAGGGGAGCCGGAGGGAAACCGAGUCUUAAUUGGGCGUUAAGUUGCAGGGUAUAGACCCGAAACCCGGUGAUCUAGCCAUGGGCAGGUUGAAGGUUGGGUAACACUAACUGGAGGACCGAACCGACUAAUGUUGAAAAAUUAGCGGAUGACCUGUGGCUGGGGGUGAAAGGCCAAUCAAACCGGGAGAUAGCUGGUUCUCCCCGAAAGCUAUUUAGGUAGCGCCUCGUGAAUUCAUCUCCGGGGGUAGAGCACUGUUUCGGCUAGGGGGCCAUCCCGGCUUACCAACCCGAUGCAAACUGCGAAUACCGGAGAAUGUUAUCACGGGAGACACACGGCGGGUGCUAACGUCCGUCGUGAAGAGGGAAACAACCCAGACCGCCAGCUAAGGUCCCAAAGUCAUGGUUAAGUGGGAAACGAUGUGGGAAGGCCCAGACAGCCAGGAUGUUGGCUUAGAAGCAGCCAUCAUUUAAAGAAAGCGUAAUAGCUCACUGGUCGAGUCGGCCUGCGCGGAAGAUGUAACGGGGCUAAACCAUGCACCGAAGCUGCGGCAGCGA